rnacentral:rRNA from 1 species
AUUGAACGCUGGCGGCAUGCUUUAUACAUGCAAGUCGUGCGGCAGCGCGGGGGCAACCCAGGCGGCGAGCGGCGAACGGGUGAGUAAUACAUAGGAACGUAUCCUGAAAUGGGGGAUAGCUCGGCGAAAGCCGGAUUAAUACCGCAUACGCUCCACGGAGGAAAGCAGGGGAUCGCAAGACCUUGCGUUUCUGGAGCGGCCUAUGUCUGAUUAGCUAGUUGGCGGGGUAAUAGCCCACCAAGGCGACGAUCAGUAGCUGGUCUGAGAGGAUGAUCAGCCACACUGGGACUGAGACACGGCCCAGACUCCUACGGGAGGUAGCAGUAGGGAAUUUUGGACAAUGGGCGCAAGCCUGAUCCAGCCAUGCCGCGUGAGUGAAGAAGGCCUGGUUGUAAGU